rnacentral:rRNA from 1 species
AUGAACGCUGGCGGCGCGCCUAAUACAUGCAAGUCGAGCGAGAAGACGUAGCAAUACGUUUGUAAAGCGGCGAACGGGUGAGGAAUACAUGGGUAACCUACCCUCGAGUGGGGAAUAACUAGCCGAAAGGUUAGCUAAUACCGCGUACGCUUCUUGGACUUCGGUUCAGGGAGGAAAGCGAUGCCGAGGGUAUCGCGCUCUUGGAUGGGCCCAUGUCCUAUCAGCUUGUUGGUGAGGUAACGGCUCACCAAGGCUUCGACGGGUAGCUGGUCUGAGAGGACGAUCAGCCACACUGGCACUGCGACACGGGCCAGACUCCUACGGGAGGCAGCAGUAAGGAAUAUUGCGCAAUGGGCGAAAGCCUGACGCAGCGACGCCGCGUGGGGGAUGAAGGUCUUCGGAUUGUAAACCCCUUU